UACGUAGGGUGCAAGCGUUUGUCCGGAAUUAUUGGGCGUAAAGAGCUCGUAGGCGGCUUGUCGCGUCGACUGUGAAAUCCCGCGGCUCAACUGCGGGCCUGCAGUCGAUACGGGCAGACUAGAGUGCGGUAGGGGAGACUGGAAUUCCUGGUGUAGCGGUGAAAUGCGCAGAUAUCAGGAGGAACACCGGUGGCGAAGGCGGGUCUCUGGGCCGUAACUGACGCUGAGGAGCGAAAGCGUGGGGAGCGAACAGG
rnacentral:rRNA from 1 species